rnacentral:rRNA from 1 species
CAGUAGCCGCGGGAAUACAGAGGGUGCGAGCGUUAAUCGGAUUUACUGGGCGUAAAGCGUGCGUAGGCGGCUAAUUGAGUCGGAUGUGAAAUCCCCGAGCUUAACUUGGGAAUUGCAUUCGAUACUGGUUAGCUAGAGUGUGGGAGAGGAUGGUAGAAUUCAAGGUGUAGCGGUGAAAUGCGUAGAGAUCUGGAGGAAUACCGAUGGCGAAGGCAGCCAUCUGGCCUAACACUGACGCUGAGGUACGAAAGCAUGGGGAGCAAACAGGAUUAGAUACCCGCGUAGUCCCUGUCUCUUAUAC